rnacentral:lncRNA from 1 species
AUUUUAAUUUGUUUCUGUUCUCUUUACAAAAAGGGGAGUGCCAUAUCUUUUCAACUGUAUCUGGAUAAUGGAAAAUUUAUCUCCCAUCAAUUUGCUGAUCCCAAGUACAGGGUAUCCACAGCACAAACAACAACACUAUUUAACGUUUAGCAACAUUUUCUCAUGCGCACGUUUGUGGCAUGCGAGCAACAUUUGCCGCUGGGAUGAUGCUGCUUGCAACAUGUGUAUACCACGAGCAUCGUUUUGGUGCUUCAGCUUCGGCUCUGGCUCUUGCGGCACUGGCGGCUUCGGGUUUAGCUUAGGCUCCACAUCUGCUGCUAGUUGUUGUUUUGGUUUCUGCUAGCUGCUAACUGCCUCGUGGCUUCGUGUGGUCUUCGUGUACGGAGCGCUCGUGUGUGCGUUUCCACUACACAUUUUCCGUGCGAUUUUUCAACAGUUUGCAAAAAAGCAGUGUUUUUGCGCGCCGAACACGAGGCUUCAGCUCCAGCUUUCAGUCUGUGUUCGCCGUCUGUUGCUUGUGGUUCGACUAUAGCCGGCAUCCGGGUCUUCCCAAUAGCCGCAGUAGCAGCAAAAGCAUUCCGCUCCUCGAUCCGUUGCAUCCACACAGCGUGCGUUGAACCUUUUUUGGAGAAUUGUUUUUGAAAUAAAAAAUAACCAAAUACUUUCCGAGACAGAAGUUGGAAACAAAUAUGGAAUAAAACUACGAAC